UUUCAAUGACCAUGGGGUGAUGGUGCUCGGACGUGGACCCUAUCACAUUGGUAAUCCAGCUGUCCCUCGCUGCUAAGCCAAUGGAUUCAUUGGGAUAUCUCAGUGGAUGAUGCAACCCCCGUCCUCACCCUGUCCCUGUCUGUAUCCCGCCCCCCCAGCAGCAGUGUGGAGUUUGACUGGUGUGCGUGUCCAGCAAUCGCGCGCUGAGGAGGCUUGACCGCAGGACGGUGGUGGUGAACCACAUCCCCGAGACUGAGCGCAGACUUUGAGUGCGACCGGCUCUAUUUUGAGGAGCUGUUCCUGGGGAGGAUCCUGAAGACCUCCCAGCAGGAGAAACACAAUGAUAUUGGAGACCUGAGGCUGCUGUAAAGCUACACAAGUCAAACCAGUUGAGUUGGUUGUAGCUGAUGCUGCUGUUCCCCACUGGCCUGCCCCUGUGGCUGCAGUGGAAGCAUCAUAUCCGUCGGAGGGCAGAUCCCCAAUAAUCUUGCUGUGCUGCUGUUCCAGAACGGGGUCAACAUCCUGGGCACCAGCGCCCUGCAGAUCAACUGUGCUGAAGAGCGCUCUGUCUCGGCGUGGCACAAGCCCCCUGGAAGGCUUUGAGCUCUCUGGUACGAGAGACCACCAGGGAACAGCUGCUGUUUACUGAGCAGCUUCUGAUUUUCAGCUGUGUUUUGUACUGUGUUUGAGGCCAGGUUCUGUUUUGUAUCUGUGCUUGCAAUGCUUAAUCUGUAUCUUGCCAUUCUGCUUAUUUUUAAUCUCUGCUUUUUUCUUGCCUACCUCAAUAACACGUAUCAACUGGUUGAUACCUCUUACAGAAAAGUGUAGAAUGGAGUUCACACGUCCUGAGAUUGAGUUUAUAUUUAUAUAGCGCCUUUAAUCAUUCUGACGCUAAUGGUGUGAGAGAACCUAACAUCACUGCCAAAUGACUGAUUUAAAAAUUUGUUCCCUCUGGGUGAAAUAUGUUGAUGACUAAAUCGGAUCGAGUUCUCCAAGACAAGCUGUAGUGCCGGGUGGUCUGCAGGAAGGAAAGGAUUGGACUGGAUGACGGCUGCGUAGCCCAGAUGCAUUCCGACAGCAGAGUGGUUGGGCUGGUUGAGGAAGGGAUGAAGGUGGAAAACAGUUUGCUGCUGAAACUCUUUGUCUUACCCAAAGUCCUAGCUCUAUAAGGAUCAGAUCUGAAUGCAAGUUGGGCUUUGAUGUUGCCCCUGAAAAUCAUAGUGCAGUUCAGUGGAAACUGUCUGUUAAAUACGCAUGAGCCCCUUGCUGACGUCACUGGAAAGCAUGCUGUACUUUAGGUCAUGACUUGCAAUCCUUGCUGCUUCUAAGAGGUGUCUGAUGGUUAUUUAGGGCAUCAGAAGUCAUUAAAAAUAGCCUUAAGUAAUGCCUUUGAAUGUGGAUGUUAGUUUUAAUUAAAUCUGGUCAGCAUGCAGGAGUUGCU